UAGUGUUACAGCUCUUUUAGAAUUUGUCUAGCAGGUUUUCAGGUCCUUACCGGAAAACGCCCAA
rnacentral:snRNA from 1 species